GGUAUGAGUCCAUAAGAAUCCUAUCACUUUUAAGCUCAAAAAUUAUUUUAUCAUUUUUAAAUUGGAGAUUCUUAGGUGGGAUAUUGGAUUGAUGACUAGGUCCAGGUGGUUGGUAGGUGGGUGGGUUUUUUUCAAAAUUCAGUAUUGGUUCGUUUGGCAAUUGACCUAGUUCUCUCCUCAUGAUAGAUUCAGUUAAUUGAUCUAUUUGUACUUCUAGCC
rnacentral:lncRNA from 1 species